UACGUAGGGUGCAAGCGUUGUCCGGAAUUAUUGGGCGUAAAGAGCUCGUAGGCGGUCUGUCACGUCGGCUGUGAAAACCCGAGGCUCAACCUCGGGCCUGCAGUCGAUACGGGCAAACUAGAGUACUGCAGGGGAGACUGGAAUUCCUGGUGUAGCGGUGAAAUGCGCAGAUAUCAGGAGGAACACCGGUGGCGAAGGCGGGUCUCUGGGCAGUAACUGACGCUGAGGCACGAAAGCGUGGGUAGCAAACAGG
rnacentral:rRNA from 1 species